rnacentral:rRNA from 1 species
GACGAACGCUGGCGGCGUGCUUAACACAUGCAAGUCGAACGGAAAGGCCCUGCUUUUGUGGGUUGCUCGAGUGGCGAACGGGUGAGUAACACGUGAGUAACCUGCCCUUGACUUUGGGAUAACUUCAGGAAACUGGGGCUAAUACCGGAUAGGAGCUUUUGCUGCAUGGUGGGGGUUGGAAAGUUUCGGCGGUUGGGUAUGGACUCGCUGGUUAUGCGCUUGUUGGUGGGGUAGUGGCUUACACAGGCUUUGACGGGUAGCCGGCCUGAGAGGGUGACCGGCCACAUUGGGACUGAGAUACGGCCCAGACUCCUACGGGAGGCAGCAGUGGGGAAUAUUGCACAAUGGGCGGAAGCCUGAUGCAGCAACGCCGCGUGCGGGAUGACGGCCUUCGGGUUGUAAACCGCUUUCGCCUGUGACGAAGCGUGAGUGACGGUAAUGGGUAAAGAAGCACCGGCUAACUACGUG